AUUUCAGCAGUGGCCUCACUCUCACCUUAAGUUGACAGGUGUAUUUCUUAUGAACAACACAUUGUUGAAUUCUGGUUUCUAAUCCAUUCUGCUCUCUGAUUCCAUUUUAUGGGAUCUGGAAUCUAAACCAUCCUCCACCAUGAGAAUCUUCUACCUACUUGUCACUGCUUUUUUUACCCUUUUCCAGACAGUGCCAGGAAGCUCUAGGGGGUUCCAUUAUGAGAGACCCUGUUAUCUCCGGGGUGGAGUCUGCCUAAAACGAGGAACACCAGGAUGUGUGCCUUUCAGGGGACCCUGCCGAGAAUUUACUGUUUGCUGCAAAAGGAAAAACUGAGAAACAUCUGCACAGAAGAUUUCUAGAAGGAAGGCCUGAUAGCGGCCUAGAAACUGUGCUUAUUCUUGGCUGAA